rnacentral:rRNA from 1 species
UACGUAGGGUCCGAGCGUUGUCCGGAAUUAUUGGGCGUAAAGGGCUCGUAGGCGGUUCGUCACGUCGGGAGUGAAAACUCGGGGCUUAACUCCGGGCCUGCAGUGGGUACGGGCAGACUAGAGUGCGGCAGGGGAGACUGGAAUUCCUGGUGUAGCGGUGAAAUGCGCAGAUAUCAGGAGGAACACCGGUGGCGAAGGCGGGUCUCUGGGCCGUAACUGACGCUGAGGAGCGAAAGCGUGGGGAGCGAACAGG